rnacentral:rRNA from 1 species
UACAGAGGUCUCAAGCGUUGUUCGGAUUCAUUGGGCGUAAAGGGUGCGUAGGCGGCGCGGUAAGUCGGGUGUGAAAUCUCGGAGCUUAACUCCGAAACUGCAUUCGAUACUGCCGUGCUUGAGGACUGGAGAGGAGACUGGAAUUUACGGUGUAGCGGUGAAAUGCGUAGAUAUCGUAAGGAAGACCAGUGGCGAAGGCAGGUCUCUGGACAGUUCCUGACGCUGAGGCACGAAGGCCAGGGGAGCAAACGGG